AAACACAGUUACUUCAAAAAAAAACCUAAAUAUUAACUUCUUUUUUUUUUUUUACUUUUUCUUCCCUAACUUUCAAAAAUUUAUAAUUUACUUUCUUCGUAUUUCAAGUUGUUACAUUUAGCUCCAUCCGUUAGUACGUAUUCUAUUACUAUUCCAUCCAUUUUUUAUAAUUUAUAUAAAAAAUAUUUUUUAAAAUAAUAGAAAAUAUGUUAAAUUUUUAUUUUUUUUUAUAGAAAAGAUAAAAAUAAUUUGGUCAUUUUGUCCUCUCUAUUAACAUCGUAGUUUUCUGAAAAUAUUCCUAAAAUUUUAAGAGUAUAAAAAUAUAGAUUUUCGAAAGUCGGUGAGGAAAAAUAAAAAAGUAGGCAUUUAUAAGAUAAUUUUUUAUAUUUUAAUCAAAAAAUAAAAACAUACGAAAUAUAUUUGAAUUAUAAAUUAUUUUAAAUUAGCUAUUUAAUUAUUUUUUCAAAUUUUAAUUAUACUAUCAAAAUUUUAAUUUGUUUUAUUUGCGUUAGUGAACGAUACUUUAAUUUUCAAAUUUGAAUGUGGUAUUUAUCCCUAUAGAUUUGGAUAAUAUAUUUUACAGGAAUUUUUUAAUUAUAAUUUUAUUAAAGUAAGCAAUUAACUUAAAAUUUGAAGUCAGGAAAUUAUUAGCCGACCUACAUAAAACGAAUUGAAAGAUUGGAUAGUAAAUCUAGAAUUUUUGACGGUUGGAUAUAUAGCUAUCUUACAACGGCCCAUAAUUCAGACAAUUUUUAUACAUUUUUUUACUUUUAACGAAUUUCCUAUCUCUGUUUAAAAAUUUAAUCGGGUAAAUAAGAUGAAUUAACCAUCCCUCCUGAUGAAAUAUUCUAUGCGUAAUGUUUCCAAAAAAUUCCUAUUAUUCUCUGCUCUGCAUUUUUAUUAAAUUGGCCCUGCUUGUAGAACAACGACGUUUCAUUGGAAAAUCCUCCAUUCGCUACAACAUAUCAGUUUUGUCUUUAUCCAAAAUUUUAUCGAUAUCAUUUAAUAUUGAAAUUAAAAAAAUUCAAAAUUUACUAUUCAACUUUUCAAUGAGGCUUCAAUUUUGAGUUAGCUAUCUAUUGAAAGGUUGGGUAGCUAAUUAAAAUAAAGAAUAAUUAUUUAUAUACCUCUCAAAAUUUUAAAAAUAUUUAAUUUAUUUUUUUAAUAUACCUCUCAUAAGUUUUUAUGUUAUUCAAAAAUAUCCCAGCAAUUACCAUCCGUUAAGUUAUCACAGGUUAAAUGUGAGUUAAAUAUCUAGCAGAGUUUAAAAAAAUCAAAAUACCUCUUAAAAUAGCAGAAUUUAACUUAAAGGCAAAUAAUAAAAGUUGAUGAUGAUGGAGGGGUAUAUUUGAAAUGACCAAAAAUUAAAGUACUUCUUUUAUCCCUAAUUCAAAGGCAAAUAAGAAAAGUUGAUGAUGGUAGAAAGAUAUAUUUGAAAGGAUAAAAUAGUAAUUUUACAAAGAUAACAAUUAUUGCUAACAGUUCACUAACAUAAUUUAAUUUUAGGAGUAUAUUACCGACCGUCCCUAGAGCAAGUGGCAAAGGGCUUGGUGGUUGGUACCCGAGACCCAAGUUCGAAUCCUAGUUGAUUCAUAUUUCUAGCUAAAUUUAUUUCUAAAUGAAAUAAACGAAGCGGGUAACGUGCUACUUAUCUCUCAAAAAAAAAAAAAA
rnacentral:lncRNA from 1 species